rnacentral:tRNA from 1 species
GCCGGCGUGCCAGAAAGGUUAAUGGGCGUGGCUCGAGACCACGUGUCCCUUUGGGACAUCUAGGUUCGAAUCCUAGCGCCGGCG